CACUUUCCUUUUGUUGGUUAAAAUGAGGGCGACCAUAUAUGGCCCCUAUUGAUGUUUUAUUAUUGCAUAAGUAUUCGUUUGAAAGAAAACCCAGUUGAGUAAGAAACUUUAAAUCACAUUUGCAGAUGAGGAAAAGGUGUUACAACAUUUAAAUGAUCAGAUAUAUAAAAGGGAAACAUAACAAGGAAAACACAAAAGGGGUGUUGAAAAUCCACAGAUUUGACAAGGAAAUUAAACAAAUUGCAAAAAAUUCUUCAACUUACUAGUUGUUGGAAAAUGGAGCAAGAUUCUCUUUCCGUACUCAGGCGAUGGAUUGAUUAUAUAAAGGAAUUAAAAAGGGAAAAUGCUAGAAUAGAGACACUAGUGAAAAGAAAUUUCCAGAUAGAUAAAUAUUGCCAAGAAAUGAACAAACGGA